CUUAAAAUCAAAGCCUGGAGAGUCAAAACUUUGCUGGUUAACAGAUCAGACCUUUGAGAAGCAAACAAACCCUUUGGAUUGCAUUUAUCUGCCCUUGCUGCGUCCGUUACCAUCCGGGAAGGUUUAUCAAGGAGCAAACAGGACAUACACAGCGCCUGGUCCUGCAGCACCCAUCCCCAGAAACUCUCCUUGGUGAGCUCAAACUGCACACAUCGAUACCAUCAUCCGUCCGGACACACUUCAGACCAUCUGUCUGAACCACAGAACCCUUCCUGCUACCCAGCCCCGUGUCCUCAGGGACAAUCCAGGCAUUGCCACCCUCUCCAGCCCUCCAGCACGGACUCGUAAGGCACCGCACCAGGCUCUGCGGUGCUUUCAGGGAGUUUCUCCUCUCCCUGCUGCGGCUCCGGCUCCCUUCGAAAGCAAGCGGCUUCGCGUGUGACUCUGCAAUCUGAGAAUGCGAACCAGUCGGCAGGACACUGGGUUUCUCAGCCUGAAAAGAGAAGAUCCAUGUUUGCUGCUGGAGAAAUGCCAAGCCUGGAAAAUUUAAAUCUGACAGAGAAAGUUUUGGGAAUUUAUGAAUAAGCCUGGUGUUUGUCACGGCAAAAAAUGCAUAAGCCAAAAAUUGAACURAAUGAUAAAAGGUGAGAAGUAAAGCACGUAUUAUUUCAGCAGAUAUUAAACUAAUGUGAGGAAUGGGCUAAAUAUUUGCCAAUAACUGCUCUCACUUGGACUUUGCAAGGAACCUGAAGGAUGCUUACCCCUCAACAUGCAGAGAUCUGUUACAUCUGUCUGUUUCAUUCUACUACCUGAGAGACAGCCAUCUGCAGAAAAUCCCUGACAAGUACCAUGAGYGCAGUAGUAAAUGCAAUGUAUGGAAGGAAUUCACUGGAGUAUUACCUAAAGAAGAUUUAUCUGGACCAUUUAGUCUCCUGUGGAAGACAGUUGCAUUUUCCUGAUGCAUUGUGAUGUACUUAAGCAGUUGCUAUGGUGUCCAUACCCCCCUCUGGAGAUUUCCAGGAAGAGAUAUCUGCCCAAGAGUGUCAUACAUGUCCCAUCCCUGGGCAUGUUCAAUGCCAGGCUGGACAGUCCAAAGGGCUUUUGAGAUACAAAAKCCCUGGACCUGAGCUGAUGUGCCUGGAAAAGAGGACAUAUUUGGGGAAACCAGAGUGCAGGGCACCUGUCAUGGCACAAAUAGCCUGAGUGCCCAAAUACUGUCACCUACACGAGUAAGACAUGUAGUGGGAGUUGGUAACCUAUGGGUUUAGACAUGCCRUCUGAUCCGUGCCUGAUCUAAGUGCCUAAAUAUCCUGGAAAACCUGGACUUUAAGAUUUUAAAUCCCAUGGGGAGYUCAUAAUUUUCCCCACCACCUGACUGACUCGGCCAUCUGACCGUGAAAAGGGCCUGAUCCACCUGAAAGCUCCCAGCUGGACCAGGGCUUUUGCUGUUGCUGACUUGUCUCUCACUCAGCCAUGGACUGAGCCAGCCYCAUCCAAACCUCCCAGGAAAAGCAGGGAGCUGUGCUUCCCACUGUGGGAUCUCAGGCACUGCCAGACUCUGGCUGCCUGCUGACAUUACUGGUGGAAAGGCUUUUCUAAACUCAGCCCUGCUGUAGGGGCAUGGGUAAGUUGUUCUGCUUCCCUCUGCCUUGCUCUCUCCUGGCAGAGGGAAAUCAGGGGAAGCGAGAAUUAUUUCUUUAGCUGACCAAGUCAGAUCUGAUUAUUAAAUCUGCAAUUUUCCGUGAGAUUGAGGCAAGCGCCUUACUGCCCGCUUCGGCAGGCAUUUAUAUCUCCCAUCAGCGUGAUUUCCACGCAGUUUAAAGAGAGAAUGGCUGAAAUGCGCUUCUCCCUUCUAAUUUAUGCAAAUUCCCUUGGGUUUUUCCUGCCGUGUGAAGAGAUUUCUGACUGUUGGGUACAGAGGAUUCACAGCCUGGGUAGGGGGAGGGGAAGGACAGGGCUMGAAGAGAAAGUGCAGGCUGAUAUUAGCAGGUUGGCAUCAGGAUGUGGAUGACCUUCUCUCAGAGCACUGAAGAGCCCAAAAUGCUAGSAAUUUGUUAGCUAAGACAUGCUUUCCCCCCUUGAAAAGCCCUGCAGUCGUGGGGAAAGAAUGUGCCUUUCUGUCCUCGAAUGUAAGGGGUAAAAUUAACCACAUUUUUUGAGCUGCACCAUGUUAAAAUGCAGAAAAGCAAGAGGGAACCAUGCUGGCUGACCACUACCAGCCCCACUGUCAGCCCCACAUCUCCUGAGUCACGGUGGGACCUUGGUGAUGUCCCAGAUGUACCUAUGGGAUCAGGGGGCCAAAUCCCAUCCAGUGGGAUGCUGUGCCACAAGAACACACAGCAGAGAAAUGAGCUGCUGCCCAGAUGGGCUUGAACCUCUGUGCAGCAAUCAGCAGAAGGGAAAACCAUCAGCUCAGCUGGAAACASAGCACCCAGGAAGUCCCAAUAAUUGGAAUUUCAUUUCAUUAUUGUUUUCUGACACAUUCUUUUCACAUUUCAACUUGAUGGAUGGGGAGUGUAAUAAUGCAACUUCAAGAGGAGCUGAUGCUCUGACAAGAUCUCAUGUGGUUUCAUCCAGGGAAGGAAAAGUGAGUAAAAAUAGGCAAGAYACAGCUGACAGCUGAAAAAGCCCUCUAGGAAGCAACAAAUACAAAAGUAGUGGCAGCUCAACAACAUAACUAGGUAUGUCAUAACUUUGAUUUUAUCUCUUUUUUUUUUUAUUAGUAAGAUUUUUGCUAGUAAAAAUUGAAUCUGAGCUUUGCAUUCAAGAAAGGAAAUAUCUCCAUCAUCUCCUCUGAUGUCACCCUAGAGAGAAGAUUAGAAGAUUAACUGUGUCAGGUGACACCAAUCCAGUGGCAGGGAAAAUAAUUUUGCACAUUUAAAAAGAAAAUGGGGAAGAAAUUUCAGCUAUUUCCAAGAAAUUUGAGCCUUACCAGUGAUAAUUGCUGGCUCACAGAGAAAAUGUUUUAUGCAAAUGUGCAAAUAUAUAGUAAAUAAAAUAACAUCAAAGAUUUAGAAGAGGACUUAYUUUAAAGAARAAAUUAAUUGAU